rnacentral:tRNA from 1 species
GCCGGGGUGGGCGGCACGCACGAGGUUGCCCCACUCCUGCGGGGUGUGGCUGACGGUGCCGCCGGCGCAGGCGCUGUUCCACUCGGAGCCGUCGGUG